AACGAACGCUGGCGGCAGGCUUAACACAUGCAAGUCGAGCGCCCCGCAAGGGGAGCGGCAGACGGGUGAGUAACGCGUGGGAAUCUACCCAUCUCUACGGAAUAACGCAUGGAAACGUGUGCUAAUACCGUAUACGUCCUUCGGGAGAAAGAUUUAUCGGAGAUGGAUGAGCCCGCGUUGGAUUAGCUAGUUGGUGGGGUAAAGGCCUACCAAGGCGACGAUCCAUAGCUGGUCUGAGAGGAUGAUCAGCCACACUGGGACUGAGACACGGCCCAGACUUCUACGGGAGGCAGCAGUGGGGAAUAUUGGACAAUGGGCGCAAGCCUGAUCCAGCCAUGCCGCGUGAGUGAUGAAGGCCCUAGGGUUGUAAAGCUCUUUCACCGGUGAAGGUAAUGACGGUAACCGGAGAAGAAGCCCCGGCUAACUUCGUGCCAGCCGCCGCGGUAACAC
rnacentral:rRNA from 1 species